GCAAGAAGAACCUGUGAUUGUAAAACCAAUGCCAGGAAAACCAAAUACACAAAACCCUCCACGGAGAGGUCCUCUGAGCCAGAAUGGCUCUUUUGGCCCAUCCCCUGUGAGUGGUGGAGAAUGCUCCCCUCCAUUGACAGUGGAGCCACCUGUGAGACCUCUCUCUGCUACUCUCAAUCGAAGAGAUAUGCCUAGAAGUGAAUUUGGAUCAGUGGACGGGCCUCUACCUCAUCCUCAAUGGUCAGCUGAGGCAUCUGGGAAACCCUCUCCUUCUGAUCCAGGAUCUGGUACAGCUACCAUGAUGAACAGCAGCUCAAGAGGCUCUUCCCCUACCAGGGUACUCGAUGAAGGCAAGAUUGAUAACAGAAGAAUGUUUGCUGGAAGUGAAAUACUGAAUAGUGGAAGUCUAUAAUUACCUGUUGAGCCAGUUCCCAGCAGUGUCCUUAAACAGUGUCCACAUAAGUGUAUUCUCUUGUAACUUGUAUAGCUGUUAUGGCUGGUUAAUAUGGCUCCAAAAGGGCCCCCUCCUUUCCCAGGAGUCCCUCUCAUGAG
rnacentral:sRNA from 1 species